CCUACGGGUGGCAGCAGUGAGGAAUAUUGGUCAAUGGGCGCGAGCCUGAACCAGCCAAGCAGCGUGAAGGAAGAAUGCUCUACGGGUUGUAAACUUCUUUUAUAAAGGAAUAAAGUGAGGUACGUGUGCCUUUUUGUACGUACUGUAUGAAUAAGGAUCGGCUAACUACGUGCCAGCAGCCGAGGUAAUACGGAGGAUCCGAGCGUUAUCCGGAUUUAUUGGGUUUAACGGGGGCGUAGAUGGGUUGGUAAGUCAGUUGUGAAAGUUUGCGGCUCAACCGUGAAAUUGAAAUUGAUACUGGCUGUCUUGAGUACAGGUGGGGUAGGCGGAAUUCGUGGUGUAGCGGUGAAAUGCUUAGAGAUCACGAAGAACACCGAUUGCGAAGGCAGCUUACUAAACUGCCACUGACGUUGAUGCUCGAAAGUGUGGGGAUCAAACAGGAUUAGAUACCCUAGUAGUC
rnacentral:rRNA from 1 species